rnacentral:rRNA from 1 species
ACGGAGGGUGCGAGCGUUAAUCGGAAUCACUGGGCGUAAAGCGCACGUAGGCGGUUUCGUAAGUCGGAUGUGAAAGCCCUCGGCUCAACCAGGGAACUGCAUUCGAUACUGCGAUGCUUGAGUGCGGGAGAGGGAGACGGAAUUCCAGGUGUAGGGGUGAAAUCCGUAGAGAUCAGGAGGAACACCGGUGGCGAAGGCGGCCUCCUGGCACGUAACUGACGCUGAGGUGCGAAAGCGUGGGGAGCAAACAG